GGAGUUCAAAAUGGUGGUCAUCUCGAGCGUUUUGUUUUGUUGAAGUCUGUGAUAUUUCAUCUUUUUAUGUUGUUUCUGAAUAAAAUUUACACAUUAAUGAAUCCAGGAAUAAUUUGGCCUAGAUCGAAGAGCCGUUUGAUGCUUUAAAAAGCUUACUAUACCGAAUAUAGAAACGUUUGUAUGGGGUAUGGAAGAUAGCACUUGAGUAUAAAUUCAGUGGGCAGAAAGAAUGUCCGCUGUUUUUACCAUUGGUGAAACCGAUUUUGAUGAUCUUGAUGACGAGG